GAUGAACGCUGGCGGCGUGCCUAAUACAUGCAAGCCGAGCGAACGGACGAGAAGCUUGCUUUUCUGAUGUUAGCGGCGGACGGGUGAGUAACACGUGGAUAACCUACCUAUAAGACUGGGAUAACUUCGGGAAACCGGAGCUAAUACCGGAUAAUAUUUUGAACCGCAUGGUUCAAAAGUGAAAGACGGUCCUGCUGUCACUUAUAGAUGGAUCCGCGCUGCAUUAGCUAGUUGGUAAGGUAACGGCUUACCAAGGCAACGAUGCAUAGCCGACCUGAGAGGGUGAUCGGCCACACUGGAACUGAGACACGGUCCAGACUCCUACGGGAGGCAGCAGUAGGGAAUCUUCCGCAAUGGGCGAAAGCCUGACGGAGCAACGCCGCGUGAGUGAUGAAGGUCUUCGGAUCGUAAAACUCUGUUAUUAGGGAAGAACAUAUGUGUAAGUAACUGUGCACAUCUUGACGGUACCUAAUCAGAAAGCCACGGCUAACUACGUG
rnacentral:rRNA from 1 species